rnacentral:rRNA from 1 species
GACGAACGCUGGCGGCGUGCUUAACACAUGCAAGUCGAACGGAAAGGCCCUGCUUUUGUGGGGGGCUCGAGUGGCGAACGGGUGAGUAACACGUGAGUAAGCUGCCCUUGACUGGGGGAUAACUUCAGUAAACUGUGGCUAAUACCGGAUAGGAGCUCCUGCUGCAUGGUGGGGGUUGGAAAGUUUCGGCGGUUGGGGAUGGACUCGCGGCUUCUCAGCUGGUUGGUGGGGUAGUGGCUUACCAAGGGUGUGACGGGUAGCCGGCCUGAGAGGGUGACCGGCCACAUUGGGAGUGAGAUACGGCCGAGACUCCUCCGGCAGGCAGCAGUGGGGAAUAUUGCACCAUGGGCGGAAGCCUGAUGCAGCAACGCCGCGUGCGGGAUGAAGGCCUUCGGGUUGUAAACCGCUUUCGCCUGUGACGAAGCGUGAGUGACGGUAAUGGGUAAAGAAGCACCGGCUAACUACGUG